CUCACUCACCAGGCUAACAAACUAGCGCUGCUACAUCGGUGUAACAUAGCAUUUCAAGACUACAUCUGGUGCAUAAUUUGCUUAUAUGGUAAUUCUCUGGUAAUACAGAGCCUCCAAAACCUCUUCCAACAUUGGAGAGCGAGCGGAACGACUGAAUCCUGUGGCCACCUCUGUGUCCUCAGAUGUCUGGGUUUUCCAUAAGUCUGGUUGUGCUGCGUCUUGGCUCCUGGAGACUUGAGGCAUAGAAUUUGUGCUCCAUGGAUCAAAGUUCUCCUCUCCACGUGAUCCUCCACACGUGAAGAUGACAGCGCGAAUAAAUUCUCUACCACAUAACUUUACACCAUAGAAGGAGGGAUGGCCUUCAUUGCACCGAACCCUGUCAACAAGUGCCACCAAA